rnacentral:rRNA from 1 species
GACGAGGGAUGCAAGUGUUAUUCGGAAUUAUUGGGCGUAAAGCGUCUGUGGGUUGAUUUUUAAGUCUUUUGUUAAAUAUAUAAGAUCAAUUUAUAACAUGCAAAAGAAACUAUUAAUCUAGAGUAUAAAGGAAGUAAAGGGAAUUUCCGGUGAAGUAGUGAAAUGCGUAGAUAUCGGAAAGAACACCGAAGGCGAAAGCACUUUACUAUAUUAUAACUGACACUAAGAGACGAAAGUUGAGGUAGCAAAAGGG